AGCAUGUAUUUUUUUUUAUUAUUAUCAUAACACAUAUCAAAUAACAAUAAAUGCUAGUCAUAAUACUUCCUAUUACACGGUAAAGCAUACUAUUUAUAAUUUGUCUCCUUUUCAUAUCUACCCACGUCACAAAAAUACACAUAUAAAAAAACCAUCUUGCAUGGUUUAAAAUAUAAACAACUGUUCAAAAUUAUUCUGCAUUUAAGGAGGCUCGCGGGUAUAAGAUUUUCAGAAAAAAAUUAAACAUUAAUUUUUCAUUACAAAUUUUAUUGAUUACCUUAAGUAGCUGUUACUUUAUCAUAUGGUACAAAAUCAUUCCAAAAAAUCAAUUCGUGUUGGCCCCAGCGGACUUUUAAAAUGUAGAUGUCAUUGAAAAAGCUUCAAAUUAUCUCCCUUUGGUGCAAAAAUGCCAUUUUUUGGCAUAAAAAUUGAAAUAUCUUUUUUAACUCAUCGGUGACCUAUAUUUUUUAUUGUUGUUUUCAAAUAAGCUGUACAUAGACUAAAUAAUUGUAAAAUUUUAGCGAUUUCUGUAAUUUAGUUCUUUUUUAUUUCGAUAUUGCCGCUAUUUCUCCUAUUAGUUCAACAGAAAAAAAGGACAUUAACAAAAAUGUAUGCUCCUUUCGAAGGCGGAUUGUGAGCGUAAAUGAACGGUGACCCCAUUUUUUUAUUUCAUUUUUCUAUUAAGUAUAAGAUAAAGUUCAUUUAUAGAAAAAUAUAGAGAAAUCCUAUAUUAAAUAAAAAAUUUCAUUUAGACCCGCGAGCCCCCUUAAGAAGUGAAUGUUUCUUUUUGUAACUUCAUUGGGGUGUAAAAGCAUUGACUGAAGUACAUUUUGUAUGAAGCGCUUCAUACAAAAUGUAAACAUAAUUGAUUUUCUAUGAUCUAUGAUAGCAAUUAAAGGGCAACAAUCAAUGAUUUAUACAAAUGCUUAAUUUAAGCAGAUUUCAAUAACUGUUUAAAAUAUUUCUACUCAUAGAAUUUACAUGAAAUAUAACAAUAUGAAUCAACUACAUUCUUCAAAAGUCUUUCUGGCUUGUUGCGAGCAAUAUGAAAUAACAGUUGCAUAGUAUUAAAGAAAGCAGUAAUAAAAAAUUAUAAUUUCAGUAGAACGAACAAGUUUUUCAAUAUAUGGGUCAUUUUCAAAAAAUGUCGAAUUUGAAAUUGAAAAAUUUAUUAAAAGUUACUUAUUCAAACAACCCUCUACAUAAGCAAAUCAAAACAAACAGUACUUUAAGAACAACAUAUUAAAAGAUGC
rnacentral:lncRNA from 1 species